UACAGAGGUCUCAAGCGUUGUUCGGAUUCAUUGGGCGUAAAGGGUGCGUAGGUGGCGUGGUAAGUCGGGUGUGAAAUUUCGGAGCUUAACUCCGAAACUGCAUUCGAUACUGCCGUGCUUGAGGACUGGAGAGGAGACUGGAAUUUACGGUGUAGCAGUGAAAUGCGUAGAGAUCGUAAGGAACACCAGUGGCGAAGGCGGGUCUCUGGACAGUUCCUGACACUGAGGCACGAAGGCCAGGGGAGCAAACGGG
rnacentral:rRNA from 1 species